GAUGAACGCUGGCGGCGUGCUUAACACAUGCAAGUCGAACGGAGUUAUUAUGUUGGAAGCGAGUAGUUUACUAUGAGGCGGACAUUUUAGUAACUUAGUGGCGGACGGGUGAGUAACGCGUGGAUAACCUACCUUGUAGAGGGGGAUAACAUUUAGAAAUAGGUGCUAAUACCGCAUAAGCGCACGAUAUCGCAUGAUAUAGUGUGAAAAAAUUUAUUGCUACAAGAUGGAUCCGCGUUUGAUUAGCUAGUUGGUGAGGUAACGGCUCACCAAGGCGACGAUCAAUAGCCGGCCUGAGAGGGUGAACGGCCACAUUGGGACUGAGACACGGCCCAAACUCCUACGGGAGGCAGCAGUGGGGAAUAUUGCACAAUGGGGGAAACCCUGAUGCAGCGACGCCGCGUGAGUGAAGAAGUAUUUCGGUAUGUAAAGCUCUAUCAGCAAGGAAGAAAAUGACGGUACUUGACUAAGAAGCCCCGGCUAACUACGUGCCAGCAGCCGCGGUAAUACGUAGGGGGCAAGCGUUAUCCGGAUUUACUGGGUGUAAAGGGAGCGUAGACGGUAUAUCAAGUCAGAUGUGAAAGGCGGGGGCUUAACCCCCGGACUGCAUUUGAAACUGAUAAACUAGAGUGCAGGAGAGGUAAGUGGAAUUCCUAGUGUAGCGGUGAAAUGCGUAGAUAUUAGGAGGAACACCGGUGGCGAAGGCGGCUUACUGGACUGUAACUGACGUUGAGGCUCGAAAGCGUGGGGAGCAAACAGGAUUAGAUACCCUGGCAGUCCACGCUGUAAACGAUGAUUACUAGGUGUUGGGGGUUAAUAAACCUUCGGUGCCGUCGCAAACGCAAUAAGUAAUCCACCUGGGGAGUACGUUCGCAAGAAUGAAACUCAAAGGAAUUGACGGGGACCCGCACAAGCGGUGGAGCAUGUGGUUUAAUUCGAAGCAACGCGAAGAACCUUACCAAAUCUUGACAUCCUUCUGACCGGUAUUUAAUCGUACCUUUCCUUCGGGACAGAAGAGACAGGUGGUGCAUGGUUGUCGUCAGCUCGUGUCGUGAGAUGUUGGGUUAAGUCCCGCAACGAGCGCAACCCUUAUCUUUAGUAGCCAGCGAGUAAAGUUGGGCACUCUAGAGAGACUGCCGGGGAUAACCCGGAGGAAGGUGGGGAUGACGUCAAAUCAUCAUGCCCCUUAUGAUUUGGGCUACACACGUGCUACAAUGGCGUAAACAAAGGGAGGCGAAGCCGUGAGGUGGAGCAAAUCUCAAAAAUAACGUCUCAGUUCGGAUUGUAGUCUGCAACUCGACUACAUGAAGCUGGAAUCGCUAGUAAUCGCGAAUCAGCAUGUCGCGGUGAAUACGUUCCCGGGUCUUGUACACACCGCCCGUCACACCAUGGGAGUAGCUAACGCCCGAAGUCAGUGACCCAACCUAAACAGGAGGGAGCUGCCGAAGGUGGGAGUUAUAACUGGGGUG
rnacentral:rRNA from 1 species